rnacentral:lncRNA from 1 species
UUUUCACCUUUGCAUCUUUUUAAAAAAAAAACCUAUAAACUUUCAAAGGCUCUCUCAUUUCUCUUCCCAUUUUCGUCGGACGCCACCUCCAUCAGAGAUCCCACGGUCCAUGGUCACCGACGGCACGGGCACGACUCCGGUAAGACCCCUCCUCCCUCUUUUAUACUUCGUAUUUGUAUUAAAUCCGAAUGAAAAGAGGAGAAAGAAAUGAAAAAAAUAAAGACAAAAAUAGAUUACAAGAAAUAAUCACCUUUCCAGUAUUCUCUUGUGUGCUUUCUAUUGAUUUUUUUUUCAAUGUAUUUUGUAUACAACUUGUGUUCUAUCUCUUCGAGAAAAAGGAAAAAGAAAGGAAAAAAAAACCCCACCCACCAUCAUUAUUCGGGCUCUUUAUAGCUAAAAAUACAACCAACUUCUCUACUGUUUUUGCUAUCUCCUCAUAGGUAUGGCGACGUGGGGUAGUCGUGGGCGUGCCGAUGUAGAGAGUAGCGCACGAGUCGGAGGGGCAACGUAUGGCGCUUGGAAACUGACUUGGCUGCAGUGGCUGAAGCAUUUAGAACUAAGGUUUUCUGGUAGUGUUUUUUAAUUUGGGCUUGAUUGAAUUGGGUUUAAGGGUUGGUAUUUGGGAUUGGGCCUGUGUAGUAUUUGGGCUGGGCAAAAUUUGGGCCCUACAUAUGUUAUGUAUUACAAACUUAUAAAAUUUAUAUACAUAUUAAAAAAUUCAAUAAAAAAUCAUUUAUACAUUUAUAGUACAUAACAUAUAAUGAGAAUCCUUAAAAAAAGUUAUAAUA